UUGAACAACUCACCCAAGUAAAAACUGCAGAUCACAUUUCUGCAUCUCUGUCUCAAUCACAUUCAAAAGCCUUAGGGAAAGGUGUGUGUGGGACACCUGAAGGAGCAGCACUCAGCAGCCGUGAGCUGGAACCAGAGGGGACAGCUCUAUGAACUGGUGCCUCACACUCCUCCUCAGCUCUGAGGAAGGUCACACCAUUUGUAUGAUGAGUCCCAUGCCUCCUCAGCCCUCAAGGAGACCAGAUGCAGCAACAGCUCAUUUUCCUAAGCAGGGAACUCAGUAGGAGAGGUUUGGCUCUCGGAGCAACAGUUUGCCUUGUGCAGGUUAUGCAGAGCAGAGACAGUGUCAGCAAUACUAAGUACCAGUGCUUCCUGGACCUGGAAUGUCUUGGAAUGCUGCAUGAUUGAUGGACAAUCCAAAUGCUGAGAGAUCAGUAAGACCUUGUGGGCUGGGACACACAGGAAAUGGCCAUAGCUAUGAAAAAGCACAAAAAGUUAUUGCAAAAAAAAAAAAAAGGUAGAGAAGGUGAUUAUGAAACAAAACAUGGUAUUAGCAUCUGAUUUGUUUGCUAUGUAACUGAUGACAACUUUUUGUGAAUACCUGAUUUUACAGUUUACAGAGCUGCUUCCAAGUGUUGCUUGAGUUGUAAUUAACCAUAUGUCCUGUGCCUAAAUGACAAGAAGCUCCUAUCACACAAAGCUUCCCUUCCUCAGAAGAAACACAUAAGGAAAUGACAAAUUCUUCCUUGUUUGCUUCCCAGGAUGGUUUAAAUCUGUAUCAAAGGAAAAGAGGGGUAAGGGGCUGCAUUUUUUCAUAUUUCUGAGCAAGGGUUGUCAAAGACAGAUUCUGCCAAGUAGUUCUUGCUUCUCAUUGUCCAUUUGGCUCACUCAGUUAUUUGUGAUGUUUGCUGCACUUUGUCAUGAUCUCCCUCCUCAUGCUGGUGAGCUGUGGUUCCAAAUCUAAUGCUGCUGGUAGGACCAUGAAUUUCUCUUGGCUGUAAUGAUGAAGAUUCUUCAGGGCAUCACAAGAAGUAGAGCCUGUUGUGCCUUAACUGCCAUUGCUUUGUUUUUUCCCCUUAAAGAGCCAAUAAUCAAAAGAGAGAAAACAACAAAUUGCAUCCAGUUUUGCACUGUGCAGUAAGAAUCUGCAUUCUUGUUACACCACUUAUGUGCAGAAUGAGGUGAAAGGGAAGGCUCAGUUCUCAGGCAGAGCCACUUGGUCUCCCUGACCCUGGCAGCACUGCACAAAGGCAACAAGGCACUGGGCUUCCCACUAUGCCAAGGUCUAUCAAAUACUGAAGGACUGCCCAUGUAGCCACCUUUUGAGUCCAUUCUGUUGUCACUUAUUUCUUUUCACUUUGUCUUCCUUUGUUGUCUUAUUGACCCUAACAGCUGAACUGGUUUGCCUUCAAAAAUGCAGUGGCCUUCUUUGUAACUUGUUCUGUAAAGGAUGAAAAUAAAUGCAGCUAUGGAAAAUUGGCCACUGUGCCACUAACUAACAAAUUAGAAGUCCUGGAUAUAUUUCCCAUUCCCAAAAAGUCUUAAGCACAUUAUUUUAACACUUACCUUAAAUUAUUCUUUUCCUUACUACUAGGUAAUAUGCAACACUAUAAGACAAGAUCAGAAUCUUAAGGUUUUUAGAAAGGUGAAAAUAUUGGCAUUUAUUUUCUGUAAAUCAGAGUGCUUUCCUUGCAGCAGCUCCAUACCUUAACUGCAUUCUGGCAUUCCCAUGCUCUGCACAACUUCAUUGCUGCCCAGACUGUGUUGCCUUUCCUAUCCAAGAACAUUAGUAGCAAAGCCAGAAAUCUUUUCAUCUCCCUUCAUUUUGCUUUCUGUUCCUUGCAAAAACUUUGUGAAUAGGUACAGCUUCCUGCUGGGGAAUAAAGGAAGGGUGGCUCCAAAGCUAGCAGGUUUUCCUGUCUCUCUAACUUAGCUGCCAUCCUAGCUGGCAUUCUCUAAUCUUCAGCCACAAUUGCCUUUUUUUGUUUCUCCCCCAA